AGAGGGAAAAAUCCCUUGCUGUGAACGUCUACCUGCUAGUAAUAAAGAGAAACUGGGAGGAAACCUUGGAGACUACAGGAUUUUCAGGAUUACGACCUGGGCUUGAAAGCCCUCCAGACAUCAGGGAGACCUGCUCCCAGAGAGAGCUUGCUAGAUGCAACCUAGAGAGCAACUACACAGCAAUUCGCAUUUUAAAAUUGCAUUUCAAGGAUCCCUCACAGUGUCGAGGCUGUUGCUUUGCCUGUGUGGCUCAAAAUUUCUGCCGAGUGAAUCACCACCACUCCAGCAACGCGCCGCAUUUGAUCACAGAGUCCUAGAGGGUUUUCAACAAGCAAUUAGGCGGUGGAUGCGAAAAUAAUUUGUACGUUUGUCUGUUUGUUGUUUGUCUCGAGCUCUUUUAUAAUCAGUUAGCUCAUUGCCUUCGGCUGCAGGCAGAAGGGCUUCAGAAAUGCUGCCCUGGUCCCUCUGGGCAGGCUGGGCUGGAGCAGGCAGCUGCCCGGGUCUGAGCAUUGCUGGAUGUAACGUGYGCUCCGGGGAGGAUGGGAGAAGGUUAUUCGGAGCGGUCGUGCUGCUACUUGUCCUCUUCCCCAGCAAAAACGCUCUCCACUGGCAAUUACCACAUUGCUGCAAACAGACCGGAGAGAGACAUGAUGUAAAAAUUAAAUUACUUAAAACAUUUUGGGCUAACRCUUGGCUUUAUGUAAACUCAGAGACAAUCCUGUAAGGUACUCAGGGCAGAUUAUAGGUUUGGGCAAAGCUAGAAAAUUGCUGCCAUUAUAUUGUUAUUAUUAACACCUUGUAAUUAGCCC